AGUGGCGAACGGGUGAGUAACGCGUGACCGACCUUCCCCCCGCACCGGGACAACCGCGGGAAACCGCGGCUGAUACCGGGUACUCCGGGGCCUUCGCAUGAAGGCCCCGGGAAAGCUCCGGCGGCGGGGGAUGGGGUCGCGUCCCAUCAGGUAGUAGGCGGGGCAACGGCCCACCUAGCCGACGACGGGUAGCCGGGUUGAGAGACCGGCCGGCCACAUUGGGACUGAGAUACGGCCCAGACUCCUACGGGAGGCAGCAGUGGGGAAUUUUGCGCAAUGGGGGCAACCCUGACGCAGCAACGCCGCGUGCGGGACGACGGCCUUCGGGUUGUAAACCGCUUUCAGCAGGGAAGAACCUAUGACGGUACCUGCAGAAGAAGCCCCGGCUAACUACGUGCCAGCAGCCGCGGUAAUACGUAGGGGGCGAGCGUUAUCCGGAAUGAUUGGGCGUAAAGCGCGCGCAGGCGGCCGCUCAAGCGGGACCUCUAACCCCGGGGCUCAACCCCGGGCCGGGUCCCGAACUGGGCGGCUCGAGUGCGGUAGGGGAGAGCGGAAUUCCAAGUGUAGCGGUGAAAUGCGCAGAUAUUUGGAAGAACACCGAUGGCGAAGGCAGCUCUCUGGGCCGUCACUGACGCUGAGGCGCGAAAGCGUGGGGAGCAAACAGGAUUAGAUACCCUGGUAGUCCACGCCGUAAACGAUGAGCACUAGAUGUUGGUCCCGAAGGGAUCAGUGUCGCAGUUAACGCAAUAAGUGCUCCGCCUGGGGAGUACGCUCGCAAGAGUAAAACUCAAAGGAAUUGACGGGGACCCGCACAAGCAGCGGAGCAUGUGGUUUAAUUCGAAGCAACGCGAAGAACCUUACCAGGGCUUGACAUCCCGAUGACCGUUCCUUAACCGGAACUUCUCUACGGAGCAUCGGUGACAGGUGGUGCAUGGUUGUCGUCAGCUCGUGUCGUGAGAUGUUGGGUUAAGUCCCGCAACGAGCGCAACCCUUGUCGUCAGUUCUAACAUUCAGUUGAGGACUCUGGCGAGACUGCCGAGGUUAACUCGGAGGAAGGUGGGGAUGACGUCAAAUCAUCAUGCCCCUUAUGUUCUGGGCUACACACGUGCUACAAUGGUCGGUACAAUGAGAGGCAAACCUGUGAGGGGGAGCAAAUCACCAAAACCGAUCCCAGUUCGGAUUGUAGGCUGAAACUCGCCUACAUGAAGUUGGAGUUGCUAGUAAUCGCAGAUCAGAAUGCUGCGGUGAAUGCGUUCCCGGGUCUUGUACACACCGCCCGUCA
rnacentral:rRNA from 1 species